AACUUUUAGCAACGGAUCUCUUGGCUCUCGCAUCGAUGAAGAACGCAGCGAAAUGCGAUAAGUAAUGUGAAUUGCAGAAUUCAGUAAAUCAUCGAAUCUUUGAACGCACCUUGCGCUCCUUGGUAUUCCGAGGAGCAUGCCUGUUUGAGUGUCAUUAAUAUAUAUAUAUCAACCCUCUCUUGUUGUACAUGUUGAGUGGUUUGGAUGUGGGGGUUUGCUGGCUGCCUCUUAGAUGGUUCAGCUUCCCUGAAAUGCAUUAGGAGAACAAAACUUGUUCAAUGGUGUGAUAACUAUCUUCGCUUAUGAAAGUGAGGGGCAGUUCAGCUUUCUAACAGUCUUUGGACAAAUUCAUCAUUAAUGUGACCUCAAAUCAGGUAGGACUACCCGCUGAACUUAAGCAUAUCAAUAAGCGGAGGCU
rnacentral:misc_RNA from 1 species